rnacentral:sRNA from 1 species
GGAAUCCCGCUGGCUCCGUGGUGAUGGAACGUAUCCGGAUGGACAUUCGCAAGGUGGAUGCCGUCUUUGUGGGCACUGGGGACCUGUUUGCUGCCAUGCUCCUGGCGUGGACACACAAGCACCCCAAUAACCUCAAGGUGACUGGGACCAGGCGUCCGCUCAGCCCUCCGGGCUCUCUGUGGUGGGCAGUCCACAGCCUGUCCUCCAGGGUUCAGCACGUGCAUUGGCGAAGCCGGCUCCCCAGUGGCUCGGAGAGCAGGACGGCCCUUGUGUUCACUGGAAAUCCCCUCCUGGCAGCAGUGGGCACGUCGGGUGUUGUGAGUGGGCCAGGGGCACAGCAAGUCUCUCCUCCCUGCAGGUGGCCUGUGAGAAGACCGUGUCUACCUUGCACCAUGUUCUGCAGAGGACCAUCCAGUGUGCAAAAGCCCAGGCCGGGGAAGGAGUGAGGCCCAGCCCCAUGCAGCUGGAGCUGCGGAUGGUGCAGAGCAAAAGGGACAUCGAGGACCCAGAGAUCGUCGUCCAGGCCACGGUGCUGUGAGGGCCGCGCCGCUCGCCCGUGACACGCAGCGCGUUGGUGUCUCCGUGUUUGUCCCUGUGAAAACAUGUAACGUCUGCCUUAGAGCCAUGACCGAAACUU